rnacentral:rRNA from 1 species
CCUACGGGAGGCAGCAGUGAGGAAUAUUGGUCAAUGGGCUUACGCCUGAACCAGCCAAGUCGCGUGAGGGAAGACUGCCCUAUGGGUUGUAAACCUCUUUUGUCAGGGAGCAACGCCGGCUACGUGUAGCCGGACUGAGAGUACCUGAAGAAAAAGCAUCGGCUAACUCCGUGCCAGCAGCCGCGGUAAUACGGAGGAUGCGAGCGUUAUCCGGAUUUAUUGGGUUUAAAGGGUGCGUAGGCGGCAGGCCAAGUCAGCGGUAAAAUCGCGGGGCUCAACCUCGCUCCGCCGUUGAAACUGGCGUGCUUGAGUGGGCGAGAAGUAUGCGGAAUGCGUGGUGUAGCGGUGAAAUGCAUAGAUAUCACGCAGAACUCCGAUUGCGAAGGCAGCAUACCGGCGCCCAACUGACGCUGAAGCACGAAAGCGUGGGUAUCGAACAGGAUUAGAUACCCUAGUAGUC